GAUGAACGCUGGCGGCGCGCCUAACACAUGCAAGUCGAACGAUUAAAGCACCUUCGGGUGUGUAUAAAGUGGCGAACGGCUGAGUAACACGUGGGCAACCUGCCCCUUUCAUUGGGAUAGCCACGGGAAACCGUGGAUAAUACCGAAUACUUCGAGACUUCCGCAUGGAAGACUCGAGAAAGCUGCGGCGGAGAGGGAUGGGCCCGCGGCCUGUUAGCUUGUUGGUGGGGUAACGGCCUACCAAGGCAAUGAUGGGUAGCUGGGUUGAGAGACCGACCAGCCAGAUUGGGACUGAGACACGGCCCAGACUCCUACGGGAGGCAGCAGUGGGGAAUCUUGCACAAUGGGCGAAAGCCUGAUGCAGCGACGCCGCGUGCGGGAUGAAGGCCUUCGGGUUGUAAACCGCUUUCAGCAGGGACGAAGCGAGAGUGACGGUACCUGCAGAAGAAGCCCCGGCUAACUACGUG
rnacentral:rRNA from 1 species